rnacentral:rRNA from 1 species
UACGAAGGGGGCUAGCGUUGUUCGGAAUUACUGGGCGUAAAGCGCACGUAGGCGGAUCGAUCAGUCAGGGGUGAAAUCCCAGAGCUCAACUCUGGAACUGCCUUUGAUACUGUCGGUCUAGAGUAUGGAAGAGGUGAGUGGAAUUCCGAGUGUAGAGGUGAAAUUCGUAGAUAUUCGGAGGAACACCAGUGGCGAAGGCGGCUCACUGGUCCAUUACUGGACGCUGAGG